GCCACACGAGGAGCCUUAUGGAGCCACCUCACUCCUGCACGAGUUAAGCAUUCCUGCGCGUACGCAGAAGGUGGCAGUCCAAUUCAGGCAGCUGGACACGGCCCGCGCAUGUCAACAGAUAGAGCUUUGUUUCAACAGAUUCCUAGAUUUCCAAAGGAAAGUUAUUAUCGAGGUGAUGCAAAGGACUCAUCACUGUGCACAGCUCCAGCCAAGAGCCUGAAGGGCACCAAAACAGACGUGCCCCUGGAGGCUGCUACUACACAGAACAACUGGCAUCUUUGUUACAUGGCUGGAGGCACUGAGCCUGCUGCUUCAACUGCCAGAGCUACUAGAUCACUGCCAGUGGAGCUACAGCCUGUUCAGCUGUUACAGAAGGAGCUACUGGGCCUGGAUCACACAAGGAAAAAACCCUGCUGUGAGAGCUGCCAUCAGAAGAGGCAAAAGUCACAGCUGAAGUACCUGGUGAAUUUAGUGACACGGGACGAUUCCUAGCAACUGGGACGCCACAAAAAUGAGAUGGGAGAAUGCUUUCUGGAUGGUUGCCUGUUUACUGUUUGCAUCUCUACCCAGAGAUCAUCUUCAAGAUGUUGCAGAGGAAGGGAGAAGGGGACUCCAGCACAUUAUUUACACAACAGGAGCCAUGAUCUGACAGGUCAGUUGGACACAACGUGCCAUGCAUUUGUUGGAGAAACUGUCAUUUUGCCUUGUACCAUCACCUCUCCUGGAGAGCUGGAUGUUUCCGAUUCAAAGCUCUACUGGCAGAUAGAGUCUAUUUUAGUGCAUUUUUUUCACAAUGGGGAAGAUUCACUGAGGUACCAGGAUGAAAAUUAUCGUGGCAGAACCAGUCUUUUUUUGGAUGAGGUGAAGCAUGGCAACUUUUCCCUACAGCUUUCCAACAUCCGAUUAGAGGAUGCAGCUGUAUAUACUUGCAUCUAUAAACAGGCUAGGGCUCUCUCCAACAAAACACAGAAAUCUAAAAUUAAACUCGAUGUAUCAGGACACCUUAAUCUAAGCAAGAAAAAAGGAAAACUUUAA
rnacentral:lncRNA from 1 species